ensembl:lincRNA
CCAUAAUUCUUUUUUUUUCCACUAAGGAGAAACUGGAAUUCUGAAUUUUUAUAUCAACUGUUUUAAUUUUCAGUGCUGAAACUGAUUAUAAAAACUUUGUCGAUAAAAUAAAAUGUCUGGUGGCUUUGAUUAAUUCUGACGAUGAUGAAUAGUGAUAGCUAACAUUCUUGAGUGCUUACUGAAAUACCACCACAGACUGUUCCCUAUGAUUUCUUUCUCACAACAAAGGUGGAAGACUGCCUGAUUCUUUUGUGUGAGGAAAUGGAAGCCCAGGAAGUAAUUUGCCAAACUCACAUCUUGGCUGUUCUACUGAUCAGUGGUAGCAAAGUUUUAUUGAAGGUAAAGAAACAGACUCUGUAGAGUGAGUUUGGACCAAGUAAAAGCAGGAAAAGAAGUACACCCUACAUAGUAAAGCACUGGGGACAGGCCUUCCCAGAGAGGAGAGCACACAGACAUCAUUUGUGCUUCAGGGCUCCCAGCUUGCCAAGCUCUGGAGUGAUCUUCAUCCGAGGGAAGUAAUGUUCAACAACUUCAUUCUGGCUAAUGGGGAAUCUGAGGCCCAGAGCGCGGAAGCUCUGGCGCCAAGCUGGGAAGAAGCACGGAUACAGUACCUGUACGGAAACCGAGGCAUAGAGAGCAAGAGAUCCAGUCUUCCUGUGAGAAUGAGAAAUUUCAGUGCUAUCAAGAAAAACGGAGCAGAGCCCGAUGAUGGGAAGGCUGGGCUGGGGUCAUCAUCAGCAGAUGGGGUGGUGAGAGAGGACCCCACUGAAGAGGGCAUGGGGAGGAGCCAACCAUGGGGAGGAGCCAACCAUGGGGAGGAGCCAACCAUGGGGCGAUCAGAGGCAGAGAAGAACAAGGGCUAAGGAUCUGAGGGACUUUCGUGGCUCCUUUUACACAAGCGAGCAAGCACAUGGUCUUCACCAUGUCCUCCUGAUGUCAAAUGUCUGGAUGUGCAGCCCAGGUUUCACCAGUGACCUAGAGGAUUCUGGAGCACAUGGGAGCUGGAGAACAAUGCAUCCAAGAACUCCUGGCUGGAGGCUGAAUAUUGGGAAGGGUGGCUGUGACAGUCUCCUGGCCUCUGUGUGAUCAGAGCUGGUUCUGAGGGCGCCUGGUCCUGGGGACAGCCCAGAAGAGGAUGACCAGGAGGAGCUCCUUACUUACCUCGGGGCCCAUGAGCCUGCCAGGAGCUGGGUUUGAGCCACCCACCUUAGGGCUGUCUCCCUGGAUGGCGGUGACAUCUGCUGGGAACCCUACAGGCAGACCUAAGCUUCCAGUGCACAAGGUCCUGGAGGAAGAUUUUAGUUAAAGACACUGAAGAAUUUGCAUUGGCUGGAGCUGUCCAACAGCUGGAGAUAAUAUGGAUUUAAAGUUGCCUGAGGGAGGACUUGGCUCUCCUACUUCUUGGUCAUCAGACCAAGGGUCUUUACCUCCUGAUGUCUGAAUUUUCCUGUCAGUAAAAUGGGGACAAUGAUAGCGGCCACUCUGAGAAUGAAAUGAGUUAGUACACCGAAAGUACUUAAAACUCUGAAUGCAUUGAGUGCCCCAUAAAUGUGUUUUCUUUACUUGCAUAUUCCAAGCCAUGCAAGACCUUGCCUGGGCAGGCUGCUCAACCUCCAUGAUGAUGGGAGUUGAUGUGACUGCCCUGUGGUUGGUUUGAGGAGGAAGACACCUCCAUCCUAAGCCAAUGUUUCCAUCUGUCCGAUAUUGGCACGGCCACGAUGCCAGGAGCUUUACCUCCCCGCCCUGGAUUCUCUCACCCAGCAGCAGUAACCAGUAUCUUACCCCAUCACCAGCGCAUCACCAAGGCACCUGCAUUCUCAAGUCUUUAGGACAGGGUGUGUCCCACGGGCCAGCAGCUUGGCUUGUUUUGCUUGUUUCAUUAAAUAAUUUUAUGGUACAAUUUAAAUAUACAUAAUGAUCACAUCCAUCAAAGGGAGUUUGUACCUGCAUAUGAUACAGUUUGAUUCCUCUUUUUCUCCCAUUUCCCUUCUUUUAACCUCCACUCCCCUCCUUAUUUACAAAAGUUUGUUUCAAUUUUUUUCCUUCUUUUAUCAAUUUCUCCCUUUCCUCCCUUCCCCUUUCACAGUUUCCCUUUCCUUUUGAACAGUUUCUUUCUAUUUUAUAUUAUCUGUGAUACACUUUGGA